rnacentral:rRNA from 2 species
AGAGUUUGAUCCUGGCUCAGGACGAACGCUGGCGGCGUGCCUAAUACAUGCAAGUCGAACGAACUCUGGUAUUGAUUGGUGCUUGCAUCAUGAUUUACAUUUGAGUGAGUGGCGAACUGGUGAGUAACACGUGGGAAACCUGCCCAGAAGCGGGGGAUAACACCUGGAAACAGAUGCUAAUACCGCAUAACAACUUGGACCGCAUGGUCCGAGUUUGAAAGAUGGCUUCGGCUAUCACUUUUGGAUGGUCCCGCGGCGUAUUAGCUAGAUGGUGGGGUAACGGCUCACCAUGGCAAUGAUACGUAGCCGACCUGAGAGGGUAAUCGGCCACAUUGGGACUGAGACACGGCCCAAACUCCUACGGGAGGCAGCAGUAGGGAAUCUUCCACAAUGGACGAAAGUCUGAUGGAGCAACGCCGCGUGAGUGAAGAAGGGUUUCGGCUCGUAAAACUCUGUUGUUAAAGAAGAACAUAUCUGAGAGUAACUGUUCAGGUAUUGACGGUAUUUAACCAGAAAGCCACGGCUAACUACGUGCCAGCAGCCGCGGUAAUACGUAGGUGGCAAGCGUUGUCCGGAUUUAUUGGGCGUAAAGCGAGCGCAGGCGGUUUUUUAAGUCUGAUGUGAAAGCCUUCGGCUCAACCGAAGAAGUGCAUCGGAAACUGGGAAACUUGAGUGCAGAAGAGGACAGUGGAACUCCAUGUGUAGCGGUGAAAUGCGUAGAUAUAUGGAAGAACACCAGUGGCGAAGGCGGCUGUCUGGUCUGUAACUGACGCUGAGGCUCGAAAGUAUGGGUAGCAAACAGGAUUAGAUACCCUGGUAGUCCAUACCGUAAACAAUGAAUGCUAAGUGUUGGAGGGUUUCCGCCCUUCAGUGCUGCAGCUAACGCAUUAAGCAUUCCGCCUGGGGAGUACGGCCGCAAGGCUGAAACUCAAAGGAAUUGACGGGGGCCCGCACAAGCGGUGGAGCAUGUGGUUUAAUUCGAAGCUACGCGAAGAACCUUACCAGGUCUUGACAUACUAUGCAAAUCUAAGAGAUUAGACGUUCCCUUCGGGGACAUGGAUACAGGUGGUGCAUGGUUGUCGUCAGCUCGUGUCGUGAGAUGUUGGGUUAAGUCCCGCAACGAGCGCAACCCUUAUUAUCAGUUGCCAGCAUUAAGUUGGGCACUCUGGUGAGACUGCCGGUGACAAACCGGAGGAAGGUGGGGAUGACGUCAAAUCAUCAUGCCCCUUAUGACCUGGGCUACACACGUGCUACAAUGGAUGGUACAACGAGUUGCGAACUCGCGAGAGUAAGCUAAUCUCUUAAAGCCAUUCUCAGUUCGGAUUGUAGGCUGCAACUCGCCUACAUGAAGUCGGAAUCGCUAGUAAUCGCGGAUCAGCAUGCCGCGGUGAAUACGUUCCCGGGCCUUGUACACACCGCCCGUCACACCAUGAGAGUUUGUAACACCCAAAGUCGGUGGGGUAACCUUUUAGGAACCAGCCGCCUAAGGUGGGACAGAUGAUUAGGGUGAAGUCGUAACAAGGUAGCCGUAG